ensembl:snRNA U6 U6 spliceosomal RNA
GUGCUCGUUUCAGCAGCACAUAUACUAAAACUGGAACGAUACAGAGAAGAUUAGCGUGGCCCUUGCACAAAGAUGACACACAAAUUCGUGAAGCUUCCAUAUUUUUU